ACUGCGCAUGUGCAGGCUUAAUUCAGGAAGACGGCAGCAAAACAAACUUGUUGGCGCGGUUUUGAGAGGUGAGCGGUGAGCAAGAUGAAGUGGAGUUAGCCCAGUGGAGCAGAGAAGAGGAGAAGGCGAGAGGAAAACCAACAGUUUUUAUCAAAACUACCAAAGGUAUCAACCUUUUUCACGGUGGUGCCAAAUACAGGAGGACGACAGACAGAGCCAGAUGCUGCCGUCAGUAGCAGCUCAGCUGUCAGUCAGCCCUGGAGGAGAGAAAGUGGAAAGUGACGCAAGGGAUGCUUUUCACGAAGUUUAACACAGCAUGCAGGGAACUCCAGGCUGAACCUGCUCCUGCUGCCACACUGAAGACAUGUUGAGAUCCUUUGCAGCCAAUGACUAACUGAAGUUUGGAAGCAACUGACGUCACCAAAUACUGAGUACUGCUACACCAGGACUUUACUGCUGCCACCUUCAGUUGCUACUUGUGUUUUUGGAUCUUUCUGCCUUCAGUUUGGCUUCAGAUCAACUCCACCAUGACCCAGAAAAGGCAGCACUUCAGUCUUCAGAGACUUGCUCUGUGGAUCUUUGUGGAGAGAGACUCGUACUGAAGCAAGACAACUGGCCCAAACAGACGCCAAAACUUUAACUUGAAGACCAAGAGAUGCGGAUUUUCACUGGCGUUCCUUCACAGUCACAAAAUUUUACAUGUACCAUUUAUAAUAAAUGUGGGUAAUAAUAUAAAAAUAAAAGAUAAGAAAAAUG